UAGAAGCAAUGGACAGGUAGAGUACUAUAUCGUAAGCAGAAAGAUGAAAAAGAAAUCAAAACAAAACAUACAACGUAUCCUAAUUGCACAUUGCGAAAGCUAAAACAUUUAAACUUAUUAUAUACUGUUAAAACCUAAUCUACACACUUGGAUUGCUUGAAUUAGGUACUAAAUCGUCACAAUUAGUUAUUCCUUUUCCUAACCCUAUAUUCACGCUGUUGUACGACUUUACAUCCACGAUCUAAACUACGACUACGCUGAACAGACGAGCAUACUUAGGGGACUAAACGUA